rnacentral:lncRNA from 1 species
UUUUUUUUUUUUUUUGUAGAGUCAGGGUCUUGCUGUGUUGCCCAGGCUGGUCUCCAACUCUUGGGCUCAAGCGAUCCUCUUGCUAUGGCCUCCCAAAGUGUUGGGAUUAUAGGCAUGAGCCACCACACUCGGCAUAGGCUCUUCUCUAAAGCACACUCUGUCACUGGGUCUGGGAAGUCCUCCCUGAUCUCAGCCCGGUCCAGCAGAGCUUGGUGCUCCCUCCUCUGGGCCCAAUGUUCCUGCUAGGGCCCUCUCUCCAGGCACAUCUCACCCUGUGCUCCAGUGAGGAACCCGCAUAGCUAUGUCCUCCUAGGCUGGGAGCCCUCGGGCGUGCACUGCCUGCCUUUAGUUAUCACCUCCUGCUCCGGCCUCCCUCCCUGAGCUUUGGUCCCACCAGCCGUUGGGUAUCUGCCUAUGUCUCUGUAUAUGUCCUUGGGUGAAGGCAUGUUUGUGUGUGUCUGUGCUUACGGGUGUGUGUCUGUGUAUACAUAUAAAUCUAUGCACCUAGAAGACUGUGGAUGUGUGGUGUGACUGUGACCAUGGAUGUUUGAGUAUAUGCGUAUGUGUCUGUGUGUCUGGGUGUGGUCUUUAUAUAUGAAUUGUGUGUUCCUGCCUCAGUGUGACUGUGUGUAUAAGGUAGUCUGGGGUACUCCUCCCCUCUGGGACUUGGUAAUAUUGAGGUAUACACCCAUAAACACAUGCAGAUCCACACAGAGUUACAGAUCCACAGAAAUAGACCCACACAGAGAUACACAAACACACACACACACACGCCCACAGACACACACCCCUGCCUCCCGUAACCCUGUCCAGGGCUGGCUGUGGAUGGGGCUACCCUUCAGAUGUCAGGCUGGGAGCCCUUGUCCCAGGCAGCCUGGCUGGGGUGGAUUCUCGGGACUUUCCCUCGCCACAUGAGAAUGUUUUCCUGUGCACAAGCAAUGGCUAAGAGCCAGCCUUGCCAUGCAACUUCCAUUUCCACUCCGGAGGCCACACCUCUGACAGCAGGCUAGCAGGCUGGCCCUGUAGGCCAUUGGUUCUGGAAAACACAGAGGUAUUGGAACCUCAUUCAGCUGUCUCCCUUCUCAGACAACACUCCAAGAGCACCGCAGUCUUCUAGCCAGGGCGUCUUAGAGCCACCAUGACAGGUAUUUAUAUUACUAUACCCUGCAGGUGCUGUGGGGCACACCCACAGGGUGGGGAUAGAAGAGGGAAUGGCCCAUCAUUUACCAGGUAUAUCCUGACAUACCCCCAAAGGUCUAUUUAUUGCUAUAUCCCCAGUUCCUAGUACAGUGCCUGGCACAUAGUAGAUGCUCAAUAAAUGUAUGUGGAGCAAAUCAAUGAAGGAGGGCAUUACCUGUCCAUCUCACAGACAUGGAAACUGAGGUUCAGAGAGGCAAUUUGUUCAACAGUGACCAAGGGACAGAGACAGGAUUAGAACCUAGGAACUGUCAAAGUAUCAAACCCCAGUUUGUUCCACUGUGUAUUAGGUUUACUCAAACUGAAUAGUGAAGUGUGAGCUCAUCGCUGGGGCCCUGGAGGCCAUCCACACUUAUCUUCACUGCUUAUUCUAAGUCUCAAUUUUCGCAUCU